CAGGCUUAACACGUGCAAGUCGAGGGGCAGCAUGGUCUUAGCUUGCUAAGACUGAUGGCGACCGGCGCACGGGUGAGUAACACGUAUCCAACCUGCCGUCUACUCUUGGACAGCCUUCUGAAAGGAAGAUUAAUACAAGAUGGCAUCAUGAGUCCGCAUGUUCACAUGAUUAAAGGUAUUCCGGUAGACGAUGGGGAUGCGUUCCAUUAGAUAGUAGGCGGGGUAACGGCCCACCUAGUCUUCGAUGGGUAGGGGUUCUGAGAGGAAGGUCCCCCACAUUGGAACUGAGACACGGUCCAAACUCCUACGGGAGGCAGCAGUGAGGAAUAUUGGUCAAUGGGCGAGAGCCUGAACCAGCCAAGUAGCGUGAAGGAUGACUGCCCUAUGGGUUGUAAACUUCUUUUAUAAAGGAAUAAAGUCGGGUAUGGAUACCCGUUUGCAUGUACUUUAUGAAUAAGGAUCGGCUUACUCCGUGCCAGCAGCCGCGGUAAUACGGAGGAUCCGAGCGUUAUCCGGAUUUAUUGGGUUUAAAGGGAGCGUAGAUGGAUGUUUAAGUCAGUUGUGAAAGUUUGCGGCUCAACCGUAAAAUUGCAGUUGAUACUGGAUAUCUUGAGUGCAGUUGAGGCAGGCGGAAUUCGUGGUGUAGCGGUGAAAUGCUUAGAUAUCACGAAGAACUCCGAUUGCGAAGGCAGCCUGCUAAGCUGCAACUGACAUUGAGGCUCGAAAGUGUGGGUAUCAAACAGGAUUAGAUACCCUGGUAGUCCACACGGUAAACGAUGAAUACUCGCUGUUUGCGAUAUACUGCAAGCGGCCAAGCGAAAGCGUUAAGUAUUCCACCUGGGGAGUACGCCGGCAACGGUGAAACUCAAAGGAAUUGACGGGGGCCCGCACAAGCGGAGGAACAUGUGGUUUAAUUCGAUGAUACGCGAGGAACCUUACCCGGGCUUAAAUUGCAGAUGAAUUACGGUGAAAGCCGUAAGCCGCAAGGCAUCUGUGAAGGUGCUGCAUGGUUGUCGUCAGCUCGUGCCGUGAGGUGUCGGCUUAAGUGCCAUAACGAGCGCAACCCUUGUUGUCAGUUACUAACAGGUUCCGCUGAGGACUCUGACAAGACUGCCAUCGUAAGAUGUGAGGAAGGUGGGGAUGACGUCAAAUCAGCACGGCCCUUACGUCCGGGGCUACACACGUGUUACAAUGGGGGGUACAGAGGGCCGCUACCACGCGAGUGGAUGCCAAUCCCCAAAACCUCUCUCAGUUCGGACUGGAGUCUGCAACCCGACUCCACGAAGCUGGAUUCGCUAGUAAUCGCGCAUCAGCCACGGCGCGGUGAAUACGUUCCCGGGCCUUGUACACACCGCCCGUCAAGCCAUGGGAGCCGGGGGUACCUGAAGUGCGUAACCGCGAGGAGCGCCCUAGGGUAAAACUGGUGACUGGGGCUAAGUCAUAAC
rnacentral:rRNA from 1 species